rnacentral:lncRNA from 1 species
GCUAGGCAAGGCAAGGCAAUGCAAGUCCAGGCCAGGGCAGGUCCAGGCAAUGCAAGGCAAAGCAGGUCAAGGCAAGGCAAAGCAUGGCAAGGCCAGUCAAGACGAGACAAGGCAAGGCAAGUCCAUUCCAGGUAGGGCAAGACUAGGCAAGGCAAGGCAAGGCCAGGCAGCACAAGACAAGUCCUGGCCUGGCAGAGCAAGGCAACUCAAGGCAGGGCAAAUCCAGGCAAGGCAAGGCAAGUCCUGGCCAGGCAGGGAAAGGCCAGGCCCUGCCAGGGAAAGCAACGCUAGACAAGGCACGUCCAGGCAAGGCCAGGCUAGACAAAGCAAGGCCAGG